AAUUGGUUAUAAUGUUGAAAAGAAGUGGAGGUUUUGAUAGGUGAAGUUUAGAAAUAAGAGUCUAAGGGGAGAAACAACAAUCUAGGACAUAUAGUAGGAUCAUUUGAAACUUGUUGGCACCUUGAGUUAAUAGAAAUCUGAUAUGGAAAUAUGCAUGACUCAGUAGGGUGGUUUAGGAAAGUUUUAAGCUCAAUUUUAGAGGUUUUUGCUAGUAAGAUUCUAAUGCAGUAGGUGUGGACUGAAGUAGUGAGUUUGGGGUCUAUUGUUAGAUAAUUUCUGAUUGGUUUAGACCCUUAGGAUGUUAAUCUUUGUAUGAGAAAAGGUGGAAGUGAGUUUAGGUAAGUUAGAGUAAGCAAGUUGGUGUAGGGUAUAUAUUUAAGCUAAAAACCUAUUUCUAGAGCAUUCUUAAUGCCUAGAAUGUCGUAUUAACCAAUUAGGUAGGUAUAAAGAGUAACCAAGGCUAGAAAAUAGGGGUUUGUAAUGUUCUGGUGUGACGUUGAGCAACACUAAGCGAGGCCUAAGUGCUAAAUUUACGAGAGGUUUGGCGUCCAAUUGCAAGGGGUGAUGCUCAAGCGCUAGAAAUGCGAGAGGAAUGGUGCUCAACGACGGGGAUGUGCUCAAUGCUAGUAUACAUAGUGUGUAGUCUUUGUUUUCUUCUUCUUUGACUUUUGUGAUUUCGUUUAAGCAUUGGUGGGUAUCUUAUGACAUGCUUUGAUAUGUUUUAUGGAAUGAUGUUAAGGGUUUUGAAUGAGGUUGAUGUAUGUAUCAAAGUAUGAUUGAAUAAGAGUUUCUAAGGAGAAAUUUUAAGUGGUAGUAUCAAGUACUGUUUCUGUGAAUGUAGGAAACUUAGUUUGGGGGUUAUCUUGACACUCUAAUGGUCAUUCAUUCUCAAUUAGAGAAGAGUGAUACAUUUGGUGAGAGUAACAGAAGAUCCUAGUCUAGGUGCUUUAGUAUGGCCUAAGACGCGAAACAGAUUAACCUUAUGUAUGUGGUA
rnacentral:lncRNA from 1 species